GACGAACGCUGGCGGCGUGCUUAACACAUGCAAGUCGAACGAAGAGCGAUGGAAGCUUGCUUCUAUCAAUCUUAGUGGCGAACGGGUGAGUAACGCGUAAUCAACCUGCCCUUCAGAGGGGGACAACAGUUGGAAACGACUGCUAAUACCGCAUACGAUCUAAUCUCGGCAUCGAGGAUAGAUGAAAGGUGGCCUCUACAUGUAAGCUAUCACUGAAGGAGGGGAUUGCGUCUGAUUAGCUAGUGGGAGGGGGAACGGCCCACCAAGGCGAUGAUCAGUAGCCGGUCUGAGAGGAUGAACGGCCACAUUGGGACUGCGACACGGCCCAGACUCCUACGGGAGGCAGCAGUGGGGAAUCUUCCGCAAUGGACGAAAGUCUGACGGAGCAACGCCGCGUGAGCGAUGACGGCCUUCGGGUUGUAAAGCUCUGUUAAUCGGGACGAAAGGCCUUCUUGCGAAUAGUGAGAAGGAUUGACGGUACCGGAAUAGAAAGCCACGGCUAACUACGUG
rnacentral:rRNA from 1 species